AGCAAAGCUAGAGAUGAGCAAAUAGCACAGCUUAGGAGUAAACAGCCCAGAGCUCAGAAUAUGCUCUGUGAUGCCCAUUUAAUUAGAGCAACAAUAUUUUCCUAAAUGAGUGGCUUGGUUAAAAUAAUCCUUUGAUGAUAUGAAAUAAUCCAUUUUCUUUUUCUCUGUUUGUUGAAUAGAAACAUUGACACCCUGGAAGCAGCAGGAAAUUCAUGACCAAUAUUUGAAUGUGACAACUGCUUGAGCUCAGAGGUUGGACCAGAUGACCCACUGUGGUUCUUUCCAGCCUUACCCAUUCUGUAAUUCUGUGAUUCUGUGAAAUGUGUAAAUUUCAUACAUUAUCUUAAAAUGUCUGUUUCUAGUCAUCAGGAAGGAAAGAUCUCCUCACUGGUAGGUUUGAGAGUUGACAGAAAGAAAUGUGUGCUGAAAACAGAGGAGCAGAAGGACUGGGGAGCUGGAUUAGGGAAUCCAAUUUUUGGAGAAGAUCCUGUACCUGGUUCUGCUGCAUCAGGGAGCCUGACCUCCGAUAGCAUAAUGUCCCCUGCCUCCAGAGACAAAGUUGGAACAACUGUGACCAAGCUUCCUUCAGCAAGCUGUGAGUCAGUGCACAGGACUGAACUGCUCUGGGACAAUGCCUUGUGAAUAGAAGAGACCCAGGAGCAGAAGUUCAAGUUAGAAGGUUACCAGUGUAAAAUCCAUUGUGCACAUGAACUGUGGAGCAGCAGGCCACUGUCUCUGCCUUCGGGUUAUCUUUGUUUCACCAAAGACAGCUGGUGAUAGUUUCAGCCUGUCCUUCUGGCAUGACUAAGCCACAGCCCCAGAGCCUCUGUGCCUUCCUUCUCAAGGGCUGUCACCAUGUGUCUGUGCAGUGGGACUGCCACUCAAUGGAACGCCAUCACCAAUUUGUGUUAGAGCUGUGUCACCUGGGCUGCCACCUCCUUCCACUGUGUGCAGAGCACGGACAUGCACAGUGACUGUGCUUGUGCAGCCCAGCUCCCCUUCAACAACUUCCCAGCCAGACAGCUUGGCUUCAGUUUUUACUUAGCAACUGCCUCCCACCCGGAGAAACCUCCUCCUCCUGCUCUCAAAUCAAGGCUCUCAACAUACUUCUUAGUUUUGGUAAAGUAAAUGGUGCUGCUGCUAAAGAAUAUUUUCACAAAUCAUGGAAUGGUGCUCUAAGCUGAUGCACCUUCUGGCUGUGAUGCCACAGCCCAGUACAGUGAAACACUGCUGUAAAUGACUUUUUUAAAAAUAACCCAGGCAAACAAAAUAAGAAACCCUGUGGGUGGCCUGAGUCACAAGAGUUGCUAUGUACAACAUGCAUCAAAAUGAAAUAUGGUCACUUUAUUGUAAAUAAAGUGCUUCUGCAAUACCA
rnacentral:lncRNA from 1 species